GAUGAACGCUGGCGGCGUGCCUAACACAUGCGAGUCGAGCGAUUUACUUCGGUAAAGAGCGGCGGACGGGUGAGUAACGCGUGGGUAACCUGCCCUGUACACACGGAUAACAUACCGAAAGGUAUGCUAAUACGAGAUAAUAUGCUUUUAUCGCAUGGUAGAAGUAUCAAAGCUUUUGGGGUACAGUAUGGACCCGCGUCUGAUUAGCUAGUUGGUGAGGUAACGGCUCACCAAGGCGACGAUCAGUAGCCGACCUGAGAGGGUGAUCGGCCACGUUGGAACUGAGACACGGUCCAAACUCCUACGGAAGGCAGCAGUGGGGGAUAUUGCACAAUGGGCGAAAGCCUGAUGCAGCACCGCCGCGUGAGCGAUGAAGGCCUUCGGGUCCUAAAGCUCUGUCCUCAAGGAAGAUAAUGACGGUACUUGAUGAGGAAGCCCCGGCUAACUACGUG
rnacentral:rRNA from 1 species